rnacentral:ribozyme from 1 species
GGGGCGCUGGAAGAGAACAGGCGAAAGGCAAGGCUCAGGAACAGAAACCAGCCGCCCCUGUUCAACUUAGGUCUUCGAAAGACCGGGCGAGGUUGC